AUUGAACGCUGGCGGAAUGCUUUACACAUGCAAGUCGAACGGCAGCACGGGGGCAACCCUGGUGGCGAGUGGCGAACGGGUGAGUAAUACAUCGGAACGUGCCCGGUCGUGGGGGAUAACGUAGCGAAAGUUACGCUAAUACCGCAUACGAUCUGAGGAUGAAAGCGGGGGACCUUCGGGCCUCGCGCGAUCGGAGCGGCCGAUGUCAGAUUAGGUAGUUGGUGGGGUAAAGGCCUACCAAGCCGACGAUCUGUAGCUGGUCUGAGAGGACGACCAGCCACACUGGGACUGAGACACGGCCCAGACUCCUACGGGAGGCAGCAGUGGGGAAUUUUGGACAAUCGGCGCAAGCCUGAUCCAGCCAUUCCGCGUGCAGGACGAAGGCCUUCGGGUUGUAAACUGCUUUUGUAUGGAACGAAAAGGCUCUGGCUAAUACCUGGGGCUCAUGACGGUACCGUAAGAAUAAGCACCGGCUAACUACGUG
rnacentral:rRNA from 1 species